AGUGAACGCUGGCGGUAGGCCUAACACAUGCAAGUCGAACGGCAGCACAGUAAGAGCUUGCUCUUACGGGUGGCGAGUGGCGGACGGGUGAGGAAUACAUCGGAAUCUACUUUUUCGUGGGGGAUAACGUAGGGAAACUUACGCUACUACCGCAUACGACCUACGGGUGAAAGCAGGGGAUCUUCGGACCUUGCGCGUUUGAAUGAGCCGAUGUCGGAUUAGCUAGUUGGCGGGGUAAAGGCCCACCAAGGCGACGAUCCGUAGCUGGUCUGAGAGGAUGAUCAGCCACACUGGAACUGAGACACGGUCCAGACUCCUACGGGAGGCAGCAGUGGGGAAUAUUGGACAAUGGGCGCAAGCCUGAUCCAGCCAUACCGCGUGGGUGAAGAAGGCCUUCGGGUUGUAAAGCCCUUUUGUUGGGAAAGAAAAGCAGCAGGUUAAUACCCCGCUGUUCUGACGGUACCCAAAGAAUAAGCACCGGCUAACUUCGUG
rnacentral:rRNA from 1 species